GUGGGGAAUUUUGGACAAUGGGCGAAAGCCUGAUCCAGCAAUGCCGCGUGCAGGAUGAAGGCCCUCGGGUUGUAAACUGCUUUUGUACGGAACGAAAAGCCUGGGGCUAAUAUCCCCGGGUCAUGACGGUACCGUAAGAAUAAGCACCGGCUAACUACGUGCCAGCAGCCGCGGUAAUACGUAGGGUGCAAGCGUUAAUCGGAAUUACUGGGCGUAAAGCGUGCGCAGGCGGUUUUGUAAGACAGUGGUGAAAUCCCCGGGCUCAACCUGGGAACUGCCAUUGUGACUGCAAGGCUAGAGUGCGGCAGAGGGGGAUGGAAUUCCGCGUGUAGCAGUGAAAUGCGUAGAUAUGCGGAGGAACACCGAUGGCGAAGGCAAUCCCCUGGGCCUGCACUGACGCUCAUGCACGAAAGCGUGGGGAGCAAACAGGAUUAGAUACCCGGGUAGUCC
rnacentral:rRNA from 1 species